rnacentral:rRNA from 1 species
CAGUAGCCACGGGAAUACGAAGGGGGCUAGCGUUGUUCCGAUUCACUGGGCGUAAAGGGCGCGUAGGCGGACUGAUAAGUCAGGGGUGAAAUCCCAAGGCUCAACCUUGGAACUGCCUUUGAUACUGUUUGUCUUGAGUUCGAGAGAGGUAAGUGGAACUGCGAGUGUAGAGGUGAAAUUCGUAGAUAUUCGCAAGAACACCAGUGGCGAAGGCGACACACUGGCUCAUUACUGACGCUGAGGCUCGAAAGCGUGGGGAGCAAACAGGAUUAGAUACCCGUGUAGUCCCUGUCUCUUAUAC